rnacentral:rRNA from 1 species
UACGUAGGGGCCUAGCGUUGUCCGGAUUUAUUGGGCGUAAAGAGCUCGUAGGCGGUUUGGUGAGUCGGGUGUGAAAUCUCCACGCUCAACGUGGAGGGGCCACCCGAUACUGCCAUGACUAGAGUCCGGUAGGGGAGUGUGGAAUUCCCGGUGUAGCGGUGAAAUGCGCAGAUAUCGGGAGGAACACCAGUAGCGAAGGCGGCUCGCUGGGCCGAUACUGACGCUGAGGAGCGAAAGCGUGGGGAGCGAACAGG